UACGGGGGGGAGCAAGCGUUGUUCGGAUUUACUGGGCGUAAAGGGCGCGUAGGCGGUCGUGACAAGUCACUUGUGAAAUCUCCGGGCUUAACUCGGAAACGGUCAAGUGAUACUGUCGGACUAGAGUACAGAAGGGGCAACUGGAAUUCUCGGUGUAGCGGUGAAAUGCGUAGAUAUCUGGAGGAACAUCGGUGGCGAAGGCGGCAUCCUGGACCGAUAUUGACGCUGAGGCGCGAAAGCAUGGGGAGCGAACAGG
rnacentral:rRNA from 1 species